AGAUUUCUAUGAUGAUUUAUUUCUUACCUACAUUGUCUGACAGAUGUGAUUAGAAUUUCCUGUCUGAAAAAUCU